rnacentral:rRNA from 1 species
AUGACCCCGGCGGUGGCGGCGGCAAAGGGGGUCGGCGAUGAUGGCCGAUGGGGCGAGGAGGCGGAGCCGAUGACCCGUGGCGGCGGCGGAGGGGUCCCAUGGGCUCGAGGACCGACGUCUGAUGCAGCCGUGGUUCCUCGCCGUCAAGAGCUAGAUCGAGCGCACAGCGGUGUAGCCGUCCAAAGGAAGAGGAAAAGCACCAUGCGCCGGUUGGGCCGUGGCGUCACGAAGGAGGUGGAGACAAAAGGCACUGGUGGCCCCGUGAAGAUCGAGGAGGUCGCCGCCUCGUCAUGCAGCGCGCGAUGGUGGACCGAUGGGCGUCCAAGAGGCACUUGA